ACAGAUCUAAGAGAUACAAGAAGAAAUUAGGGUUUCAGAAGAAAUCUAUGUAGAGAUGAAAGAACCUGUAUAGAAUCCCAAGGAUCGUGCCAAAUACAGCGUGAUUUUUCUUGAAAUCACAUACGGAGUAGCCAAGAACUGAUAAGUGACGAACCUUAGGUUUAAGUUAGCAUGGUCUUGGGCCCUUGAAGACCUUAGAUAAGGCAAGCAUAGCAUUAGAGGAGUCAUUGGAUGCUUAGGAAUUAAUGAGAAAUCACCGGAGAAGAGAGGUCGGUGAUUUAAAGGGCUAAGGUUAGGUUGAGUUGUUGAUAGAUGAGAGGAGAUGAGAAUAUAGAGGAGGAAGAUUUUG
rnacentral:lncRNA from 1 species